rnacentral:rRNA from 1 species
CCUACGGGUGGCUGCAGUGAGGAAUAUUGGUCAAUGGACGAGAGUCUGAACCAGCCAAGUAGCGUGAAGGAUGACUGCCCUAUGGGUUGUAAACUUCUUUUAUAUGGGAAUAAAAUGUUCCACGUGUGGGAUUUUGUAUGUACCCUAUGAAUAAGGAUCGGCUAACUCCGUGCCAGCAGCCGCGGUAAUACGGAGGAUCCGAUCGUUAUCCGGAUUUAUUGGGUUUAAAGGGAGCGUAGGUGGAUUGGUAAGUCAGUUGUGAAAGUUUGCGGCUCAACCGUAAAAUUGCAGUUGAAACUGGCAGUCUUGAGUACAGUAGAGGUGGGCGGAAUUCGUGGUGUAGCGGUGAAAUGCUUAGAUAUCACGAAGAACUCCGAUUGCGAAGGCAGUUCACUGGACUGCAACUGACACUGAGGCUCGAAAGUGUGGGUAUCAAACAGGAUUAGAUACCCUUGUAGUC